AUGGAUGUUAAGACUGCUUUCCUAAAUGGAGAGUUGGACGAGGAAAUUUAUAUGGAACAACCAGAUGGGUUUGUACUAGAUGGUCAGGAAGGGAAAGUGUGCAAGUUGCUGAAGUCUUUGUACGGACUUAAGCAAGCACCCAAACAGUGGCAUGAGAAGUUUGAAAGAACUUUAACCGAUGCAGGCUUCGUUGUAAACGAAGCUGAUAAAUGUGUGUACUAUCGCCAUGGUGGGGGCGAAGGAGUUAUUCUUUGCUUGUAUGUUGAUGACAUACUGAUUUUCGGAACAAAUCUGAAUGUUAUUAAGGAGGUCAAGGAUUUCCUAUCUCGUUGUUUUGAGAUGAAGGAUUUAGGAGUGGCUGAUGUCAUUUUGAACAUCAAGUUGUUGAGAGACGAUGAUGGUGGGAUUACAUUGCUUCAAUCACACUAUGUGGAAAAGAUCUUGAGUCGCUUUGGCUAUAGUGACUGCAAGCCCUCUCCAACACCAUAUGAUGCGAGUGUGUUACUUCGAAAGAAUCGAAUAAUUGCUAGAGAUCAAUUGAAAUAUUCUCAGAUUAUUGGCUCGCUUAUGUACUUAGCCAGUGCUACAAGACCUGACAUCUCUUUUGCUGUUAGCAAACUGAGUCGGUUUAUCUCAAAACCAGGAGAUGUGCAUUGGAAAGCUCUAGAAAAAGUUUUGCGUUAUUUGAAAGGCACUGCGAAUUAUGGAAUUCACUACACUGGGCACCCAAAGGUGCUUGAAGGGUAUAGUGACUCAAACUGGAUCUCAGAUGCUGAUGAGAUAAAGGCCACGAGCGGUUAUGUAUUCACUCAUGAAGGUGGCGCUGUUUCUUGGAAGUCUUGCAAGCAAACCAUCUUAACGAGGUCAACAAUGGAAGCAGAACUCACAGCACUAGAUACAGCUACGGUCGAAGCAGAUUGGCUUCGCCGGCUCUUGAAUGACUUGCCGGUUGUUGAGAAACCUGUACCGGGUAUCCUUAUGAACUGCGACAAUCAAACUGUGAUCACGAAAGUGAGCAGCUCAAAGGAUAACAUGAAGUCAUCAAGACAUGUUCAGAGAAGGUUGAAGUCUGUCAGGAAAAUGAGAAAUUCUGGAGUUAUUGCAUUGGAUUAUAUCCAAACGUCUAAAAAUCUGGCAGAUCCUUUUAUUAAGGGUCUAUCACGUAAUGUGAUAGAUAAUGCAUCGAGGGAGAUGGGUAUGAGACCCACAAUAUGA
rnacentral:rRNA from 1 species